rnacentral:sRNA from 1 species
CUUUUUUCUUCUUUUUUU